rnacentral:rRNA from 1 species
AGUGAACGCUGGCGGCGUGCUUAACACAUGCAAGUCGAACGCGAAAGGGUAGCAAUACCCGAGUAGAGUGGCGAACGGGUGAGUAAUAUGUGGGUAAUCUGCCUUGGAGAGUGGGAUAACCUGGCGAAAGCCGGGCUAAUACCGCAUGAAGUUUGGUGAUUUUCGGAUGAUCAAACGAAAGGAUGGCCUCUAUUUAUAAGCUAUCGCUUCAAGAGGAGCUCACACCCUACCACGCUUGUUGG